GACGAACGCUGGCGGCGUGCUUAACACAUGCAAGUCGAACGAAGAGCGACGGAAGCUUGCUUCUAUCAAUCUUAGUGGCGAACGGGUGAGUAACGCGUAAUCAACCUGCCCUUCAGAGGGGGACAACAGUUGGAAACGACUGCUAAUACCGCAUACGAUCUAAUCUCGGCAUCGAGGAUAGAUGAAAGGUGGCCUCUACAUGUAAGCUAUCACUGAAGGAGGGGAUUGCGUCUGAUUAGCUAGUUGGAGGGGUAACGGCCCACCAAGGCGAUGAUCAGUAGCCGGUCUGAGAGGAUGAACGGCCACAUUGGGACUGAGACACGGCCCAGACUCCUACGGGAGGCAGCAGUGGGGAAUCUUCCGCAAUGGACGAAAGUCUGACGGAGCAACGCCGCGUGAGUGAUGACGGCCUUCGGGUUGUAAAGCUCUGUUAAUCGGGACGAAAGGCCUUCUUGCGAAUAGUGAGAAGGAUUGACGGUACCG
rnacentral:rRNA from 1 species